rnacentral:lncRNA from 1 species
CUUAUCCCUUGGUUCUGCCAAUUGCCUCUUCACUUAGGAGGUCUUUGACUCAAUGCAAGGACAAUUUAAACAUACACAAGCAUUGCCUCUUAAGGAGGACUUCAGACAGUUUGCCCGGCCAAGUAACAAGCCGGGUCUCCAGACUACAUGAAGAAAAAGUAAUUAUACCUCAAAGCAAAUGCUAAAUAGCAAAGCAAGCAACUAAAGCAACUAAAGUGUACCUGAAAAAGUCAAACUUAUCAGUAUGCAAUUAAACAGUUAAAAGCAAAGGAAUGGAUAAAACAGUCAACCACAGAGGGACCAAGGUGCAUAGCACAAGACUCAAGUCACAUGAGUCAACCUACAAAACAAGGGUUAGCACAUGAUAUAUAUAAUCCAACUCAAUCAAAUUUGAGUGAUCUUUGAGGCAUUGGUGCUUAACCUGAAACAAUAGCUCAAUUGUAAGCUCAAAAGACCACUAGGACUAGCCUAGGGUCAAAGAUGAAAGAAAAAGCCAAAACAGCAAGGAAAAGUCAACCCAAUUCAUGUUCAAACAUUUAAGAAGCUAUCUCAAUUGGAUUCACAAUCAAAUCAUGCAUCAUUAUCAUUUCAU